UCGCUGCCGAGCAUCGCAGCCACGACGG
rnacentral:sRNA from 1 species